AGCUGCCCUCUUGCCGUGUUCAUGCUUUGGUAGAACACCUUCAGAGCCUUGGCAAGCUCUCGGUCAGAGCCGGCUUGCUCUGUGCACAUUUGGCUCAUCUCCCUGGCGGAUGGCAGUUGCGCAGUCAUCCCACUGAUCUUCAGAGUGUUGGAAGGCUUCUGGGCUGAGGUGGAAAAAGUUUCAUGCAGUAGGCCAGCGACUGGAGCCAGAUGUGAGCUGAGCCCAAGCGGACGACCUCGACAGGAUCCCAGAAAGGGUCAUCUUCUUGAGCCACAAAGCCGUUAUCUCCAUCUAGAAAGCACUGCUAAAGUUCCUGCAUUAGGAAUUUCCUAUUGAUGAACUUGGCUUUUGACCAUAUCCACACCUGGAAACACAGAGGAAAGCAGAGAGAGUGUGAAAUCACUGCUCUCAGAUCGGCACACGGGAAAGGCCAGCAGUCAGGAGGGGGCUCACCGAGUUUGUCUGCG
rnacentral:lncRNA from 1 species